rnacentral:lncRNA from 1 species
UUUAUACAAUAAUUGGAAAAGCAAUGGAUGUGAAUUAUGAUCAAGCAAUUCAGAAAUUUAACCAUGAUUCAUUCAAGCCUCAUAUAUUAUGUCAAAAAGAAUAACUAAAUUCAAUAAUUUAUUCUAAAUGGACAAGAGAUAAUAGCUACCAAAUUAACUUUACUUAAGUAAUUAAGAGGGCUUCUCUAUUGAAUUCAAAGGGCUGUUCUAAGUUAAGAUAAAAUUCCCUAAUCAUCAUAAUUUCAGCUACCCAAAAUCAAUAUCAAAUUCAAGCAAAUAUUAGAACAAAUUACUCACAUUUUAACAAGACCCAACAAAAUUGCUGCUGAUUAUUACAAUACCCAGCAAAAUUUAACCAAAACAAUUAGCAAUUGAACCCAAAUUUCAGCAAAAUUAGAACCCUAUUUCAUAUUAAUGAUUUUUCUAGCUCAAAAUUCCCUCCCCCACACUUAAAUUACAUUGUCCCAAUGUAAUACCCAACACAAAUCCAAGCAAAUAAAAACGGAAAUUGAAAUUUAUGUCCAAGAAAACUUACCUAAACUGCUGGACUUGAGAUCUAAAACAAAACAGGGGACGCAUCUAUUGGGUACAAAACCUUCGAACACUGCUACUAGAAGAAGAGGGAAUGGCUCCGAAGCUACUGAUUGGGCUCUAUUUUUGCUGGCGUUGGGCGAUCUGAACAAAAUAGGAGAUUGAACGAUCGCUGCUUCGCGUGGAGGAGAGAGUCACUUCUCCUUUUCUUUUCUUUUGUUCUCACCUUACUCACGUGCUGUAUAUAUGAGUCAAAAACAAAAUAGGAGAACAUAAUAUACUAAGAAAAAGCCCACACUUGACGCUUAUAAGGCCUAUUAAAAUUUCAUAUUCCAUUAAACUCUCCCAAGGAAAG